CAACUCACCUGCCGAAUCAACUAG
rnacentral:ncRNA from 4 species